rnacentral:rRNA from 1 species
UACGUAGGAAGCAAGCGUUAUCCGGAUUUACUGGGCGUAAAGAGAGCGUAGGUGGCUCAUUAAGUCGGUUGUGAAAUCUCCCAGCUUAACUGGGAGGGUGCGUCCGAUACUGGCGGGCUAGAGUGCAGCAGGAGAAGAUGGAAUUCCCGGUGUAGUGGUGAAAUGCGUAGAUAUCGGGAGGAACACCAGUGGCGAAGGCGGUCUUCUAGGCUGUGUCUGACACUGAGGCUCGAAGGUGUGGGGAGCGAAC